AAUUAAUUUGAUUCCGCUUUAAUAGCUCAACAAUAUCAACUCCUUUGAAAACGUUUCUUCUGAAUUCUCUGCAUCUCUCAACUCUGGUCACACUUUUCUCCUCCCUUCUCCUCUUCUUCUUCUUCUUCUUCUUCUUCUUCACUAUCCACCUGCUCCAGAAAAAACAUUCAAAGAAAGCAGGCUUUUCAUCGCCGACGAUCAGAGCUCAAACCCUUUCUUUCUCUGGCUCAGUACUUUCCAGAAACUUUACCCCAAAGGAAAAGAGCACACAUUAAAAAUGGGGUCAUGUGUAUCAUCAUCGCUUCACAAGGGGUCCGCCAUGAAAAUGGGAGUGUCGUUUGGUUCCAAACCAGACGAGCUCGUGCUCCCUGAAUCCCCUGUCAA
rnacentral:lncRNA from 1 species